UUUACCGGCAAUCUGUGGAAAGCUCAUUAUAACAGUUACAAACUUGGCUUUCUAGCUUAAAGUUAAAAGGAUAACACAGUCAAAUGCAGUGAUAAUACUUGAACCAAAGCUAAUGAAUUGUAUAGUUAGCGAAUAAUAGCGAAUAAGGGAAAAUACGCUAUAGUAUCUUCGGAUCGAUUGACCUCUUUAGAGGCCUAGGAGAAGUAUUUCUUACUUAUCAUGCUAGUUGUUUCAGUAAGGGUGAAACAAGGCCGUCACGGGUACGGAAAAUUGGGGUUUGACACCCGAGAGGGAGCCUGAGAAAUGGCUACCACAUCUAAGGAUGGCAGCAGGCGCGAAAAUUACCCAAUCCUAACAUUUGGGAGGUAGUGACAAGAAAUAACGUCCUUCCAUUCUUGGAAGGGUACCGCAAGGUUUGGAAUGGUUCUAGUUCAAAUUUCUAUUAGAGUAACAAUU
rnacentral:rRNA from 1 species